rnacentral:rRNA from 1 species
UACGUAGGUGGCAAGCGUUGUCCGGAAUUAUUGGGCGUAAAGCGCGCGCAGGCGGUCCUUUAAGUCUGAUGUGAAAGCCCACGGCUCAACCGUGGAGGGUCAUUGGAAACUGGGGGACUUGAGUACAGAAGAGAAGAGUGGAAUUCCACGUGUAGCGGUGAAAUGCGUAGAGAUGUGGAGAACACCAGUGGCGAAGGCGACUUUCUGGUCUGUAACUGACACUGAGGCGCGAAAGCGUGGGGAGCAAACAGG